CAAGAUAGCACGGGGUAAACAUCGUCCUCUUAAUUACAGAUCGAAAAAUCACGAAUUUUUAUGACGGCCAUGAAACUCGUGAGGCUAUGCGCAUGCGCGAUGUGGAAGAUGCGAUUAUCCUACCAACGCAUUAACGCCAUUUUGGAUUCGUGCGUGCCAGACUGCAGGAGAAUUUCAUCGUCCUCGUAAUUACAGGGAAUCCCUUCUACCGAGGCAACAACAAUAUACGACCGAACGUUCGCUUUGUAGCAGUCGUAGAAGUACGGUCAUUCUGUUACGAACCUUCUCGCAAGUAAUACACGGUUUUAUCAGAGAGAAACUCGAGACGGUUUUGUUCGCUACUUCGUAAUUGGAUCUCCACAUACAACAAUCUCUUAAUGGAGAUUUGAAAUCUUAAUUGUUGGAGAUUUCGGUGCAAUUCAAUAGUAAUUUAUUUUUUUAUACCUUCAAUUCAAUUAAUGUAUUUUUCAAUUCUUAAAUAUUGAGCCUUCAGGGAUGAUUUACAGGUAUUAUAUGGUAUUUAUUGUAUGUUUUAAUAAGCUAUUUUUCAGUAAUACAUCUGGCAGCUUGAAGAAAUGUUUUUGUGACCGUGUGCAAAGCGGUCUUAGAGUCAGUGUUUGCUCGUUAUAUAUAUUUUAAAUAUAAUUAAAUUUGUAAAAUCUAAAAUUCGCGAAUUAGAGUCAUGCUCGUAUUAGUGCGUUCUUCACGAUCCUGGGGCAGGAUGCUCGUCGGGCAAGGGCCAUCAAACGCUUCAAUCAUCGUUGCAGUAGUGCGCGAAUUAGAGUCAAUCUUUGCUCGUAAUAUUUUUAUUAAUUAAAAUAAGAUUAGAGUCAUCAAAUAAAUUCGCGAAGUAGAGUCAGUGUUUAUGUUGACGCAUGAUCCAGAGGCAGGAUGCUCAUCGUGCAAGGAGAAAUGAAGACUUUGACAAUCAUUGCAUUCGUGCGCGUGGCAAUGAAUAAAUCGAGUGUUGUAUCGAUCAAAUAAAAGAAGAAUCGCGUAAGUCGAGUCAGUGUUUGUUCGUUGAUAAAAAUUUUACCGCGUGUCGCGAUUUAUAAAGUAAUUUUUAGAAAAAAUAUAUUUGAAUCGACUGCGUGCAAGGCAGUCAUUAAUAGAGUCAGUGUUUGUUCGCAAAGUAUUUUGUAUUUGUUUACAGUCGCACAGACUGUAUUUAUAACAUAUAGUAGAUUUUCGCGAAGUAAAUUCAGUGAUCGUCCGUUAAUAAAUAACUAUCGCGAAUUAGAGUCAGUGCAUCACUGAAGAGGAUCUCGACCAACUUCGAUGUCGACCUACCUCAUUUUCAACCAACUACGAAUCUUCCACCCUCAAUUUCGACCUAAAUCGCGGUCCAGUGUUUUGGAGCCAUCGUAGAACUUCUUAAGUAGUAAGUUAAUUUUUAAGUCCCUCCGAUUACUCAAUCAUGUCGAGGACAAAAGGUCCGAAUCGACACGAGUAAUUGGUUGUAAUUAUUUCAUUCAAUUAUUGACGAGCAUGACCGUGAGUAACUCCUUCUUUGGAUUUACUCGCGAGUGGUAUAUAUUUUCCAUUGUACAUAUUUCUUUUUAUUAGUUCAGGAUAGGAUCUUCUUGCAUCAUUCGAGUAAUUUAAUUACAAGUGCAAUUAAUUAGCACUUUUCUCGUACGUAUUUGUUCGCGAUAUUAGUCACGAAAUCGGACAUUCAUUUGUCCGAUUUCUUUGAAAAAAAAAGCAUGUGACAUGAUUUACAUGCAUUGCUUCGUACAUAGUUUAUUCAAUCGCGAUCUACUUAGAUAUAUCGUUAUGAAUUUAUUAAAAAAUAUGCAAGAAGACAAUCGCGACGGAUAGAUUCUGAAAAAUAAGCGAUAGAUUAUGAUCUUGUUCAUUGAUUAGAAUAAUCGCUUGUUGGGAAGAAUCGUCCGAGGAUUUUUUAAUUAUUAUUACAUAUAAAUUUCAUAAAUAUUCCAUUAAUUCUCUUGAUGAAUAGAAAGUCUCAGUAGAGUCAUUGUUUUUGAAAGGAAAAAUAAAGUCGAGUAGAGUAAUUGCUAAAAAAACAAAGAGACUUAUAGAGUCAUAGACCGUAGGCCCUAGAUAAUAAGUUAAUCAAUUUUUAGAUCAGGAUUUUCAGCUUCUAAUAUACUAAUUCCCGUUUCUCCCCCCCAUUUUUCUGCGUUUUCAUCUAUGCGUGUACCCAGGUGUUACUCGUAUAGGUGAGAAACAGUUAAUAUGGGUUUAGUUUUAAGUUUUUCCCCAUUCGGCGGCUGUCAUAGUGUUAGUGAUUGUGCCCAAUGUACGAUUUCACCUGUGUGUGCGUGUUAGGUGGUGAAUCGUAUGUUGGUUCGCGAUAACUUUUAAAUAAAUAUCUUGCAUAUUUAAUUUAAUUUAAUUAUUACUAUUUAAUUUUAUUAAUAUAUUAUUAUUAAUAUCGUUUUGUAUACGUAGUAUAUAAUAGCAGACAUUUUGUCUGAAAACUUUGAAAUACUCGUACAUGACUAGUAUGUAUAUAUACUAGUAUGUACUAGUAUCUUUUGCUUUAGUUAUUUACGCAAUAAUCAUUAGCCUUGACAGUCGAUUACAGCAAUUGGUACGUAACCCUAAUUAGUUGAUAUACGCGGUUGAGCUAGGGUGUCGGAGAUGCCCCGGGGCAUACUCUCUAGUGUAGGCUUUUUUGCGCCCUGGCGGUAUGUGAGAGAACCGUGGAGUGUAUGUGUUGGAAUGAAUGUUUUGCUAUUUUUUAAAUAUAGGUUAUAGGCAGGCAGGUAGCAUAUCUUUCUGUGUGAAUGUAUAUUUAAUUUUAAGCAGGUAGGACCGGAUGAGACGCAGGGUAUAAUUUCCAGUCAGGAAUGAAAAAUGACGUCUCCGGAUAUUUGCAAAGUUUCAGCAAUUUUUAAAAAAAUUUUUCAUGUUCUAUUUUUUUUUUCUUUUUCUUUUUUCUUUUUUUUCCAUAUUUGCUGACACUUUGUAUUUCAAUAUACAUAUAUCAGUAUCCAACAGUUUAAAAAUCUUUGUGCAUUUGUUUAGAAAUUUUUUUCUAUCUAAUUAGCAAAGACUUUUUAACA